AUUGAACGCUGGCGGCAGGCCUAACACAUGCAAGUCGAACGGUAACAGGAAACAGCUUGCUGUUUCGCUGACGAGUGGCGGACGGGUGAGUAAUGUCUGGGAAACUGCCUGAUGGAGGGGGAUAACUACUGGAAACGGUAGCUAAUACCGCAUAACGUCGCAAGACCAAAGAGGGGGACCCUCGGGCCUCUUGCCAUCGGAUGUGCCCAGAUGGGAUUAGCUUGUUGGUGGGGUAACGGCUCACCAAGGCGGCGAUCCCUAGCUGGUCUGAGAGGAUGACCAGCCACACUGGAACUGAGACACGGUCCAGACUCCUACGGGAGGCAGCAGUGGGGAAUAUUGCACAAUGGGCGCAAGCCUGAUGCAGCCAUGCCGCGUGUAUGAAGAAGGACUUCGGGUUGUAAAGUACUUUCAGCGGGGAGGAAGGGAGUAAAGUUAAUACCUUUGCUCAUUGACGUUACCCGCAGAAGAAGCACCGGCUAACUCCGUG
rnacentral:rRNA from 1 species